rnacentral:rRNA from 1 species
GAUGAACGCUGGCGGCGUGCCUAAUACAUGCAAGUCGAACGCACAGCGAAAGGUGCUUGCACCUUUCAAGUGAGUGGCGAACGGGUGAGUAACACGUGGACAACCUGCCUCAAGGCUGGGGAUAACAUUUGGAAACAGAUGCUAAUACCGAAUAAAACUUAGUGUCGCAUGACACAAAGUUAAAAGGCGCUUCGGCGUCACCUAGGGAUGGAUCCGCGGUGCAUUAGUUAGUUGGUGGGGUAAAGGCCUACCAAGACAAUGAUGCAAAGCCGGGAUGAGAGACGGAUCGGCCACAUUGGGACUGGGUCACGGCCCAAACUCCUACGGGAGGCUGCAGUAGGGAAUCUUCCACAAUGGGCGAAAGCCUGAUGGAGCAACGCCGCGUGUGUGAUGAAGGCUUUCGGGUCGUAAAGCACUGUUGUAUGGGAAGAACAGCUAGAAUAGGAAAUGAUUUUAGUUUGACGGUACCAUACCAGAAAGGGACGGCUAAAUACGUGCCAGCCGCCGCGGUAA